ensembl:lncRNA
AUGACUUUGCCUGCUCUGAUUGUUUCUGAGAUGACCCAGCAGAUGAGCGAGGCGGAGCUGGAGUUUGUACAGAUAAUCAUAAUCGUGGUGGUGAUGAUGGUGAUGGUGGUGGUGAUCACGUGCCUGCUGAACCACUACAAGCUCUCUGCGCGCUCCUUCAUCAGCCGGCACAGCCAGGGCAGGCGGCGCGACGAGAACCUCUCCUCAGUAAGUCACACCCUGCUCCUCAGCCACACAGGCCAGGUUGUGUUGGGCCUUGGCAUCAUCUGUCUCUGUUAUGGGGGUGAAGGGGCAUUUUUGGGGUGCCUCUGGCUCUUUAGGAUGCUGUGUGUAUGGACAACCAUAGCCUCUGCCUUUGCCCUGAGCUUUGCAAUUUGGAUUUUGCAUUAGUGAAGGGACUGCACAGGGAUGUUCUUGGCAUGUCCUGCUCCUGAAACCACCACCCCCAGCUGGUUGGGGUUCAUCUGCCUUGGUUUAGCAGUCCCAAACUACCCAGUCCUUUGGCUUCAGUUGUCUCAAGUGUCUGUAUAAAAACUUCCUUGGCUGCCCUGCAGAGAGCAGGAAAUCGUGAGUAACAUUAAUUUGCUCCAGUUUUCACCAGUGCUGCAGCCAUUACUGUGGUGGAAAGGGCAGAAAUCACUUGUCAGCCAGACCAGCAGAGAUCUCUCCAAGGGGAUGUGCGAGAGGCUCUCUUAACCCAGGCUCCCAGCUCCAUAAAAGCCUGAGGAGAAAUGUGUGAAUUGUACCUCUGACAGGGAUUUGAGGGGAAGCCUCAGCAGCCUCAAGGCAGAUGUUGGUUUCUGCAGUUUUUUCAAAUGUAGUGGCUCAGAGAGACUUAGAAGGAUGUAUAGAGAAAAGACAUCACAUUUUCUUGGAGGGGAGCAUGUACUGUUCACUUGUGCCUCCCUGGCUUUGUCUUCAGUGCAGGGAUGUCUUGUACAGAUAUUCUCUUUUUUAGCAUUCACCCUGAAGGGUCUUAGAACCCUUUAAAUGGGGCUCCCUCAAGGUCACUGCUGCCUGCCCCCUCCUCUGCAGGCUGGACACACCACUGGUGCUGUGUGCUGCUCUGUGUGGGGCUGUGCCCCCUGAAUCAAAUCCAUACUUGCUGCAGGAAAAAGAUUGAAUACAGAGAUUGCUCAGGGGUCCUUUUUUCUAUUUUUCCAUUUUCUUUCCUCUAUUUUUUUUUUUUUUUGAGAGGGAUAUCUAAGAUCUCUCACUAAGCCAUCCUUCAGUGCAGUUGCAGGCUGCCCGGGGCUGUCCCUCGUAGCUGCUGUUUUGUCACACACCACACACUGCAGACAGAGGUCCCUUCUUGUCCCUUCUUGGCUGCAUUUUGAGGGGGAUGCCCCGUGGGAAGGAGAGCUGUGCCAACCCCAGCCCCAUUAACCCC